UAUGGAGACCAGAGAGCCAAUCAGCUGCCUUGGCUGUGGACUGUACUAAAGGCUGCAGAUGGAGGAGGCAGAGCAUGUCUUACAUGCUAAGAUCUCUCUCUCUCUCUCUCUCACACACACACGUGAUUUCAUGUCCUUGUUCUGCACGGUGUCAGUGUGUGCUCCCCCGCAGCAUGUAACAAACCACAUCUUGCUGAUGUAAGUGUGUGAUGCGUGUGUGACAUCACGGGCCAGGAGCGCAGCGCUGUAGCGUUGAGCAGCGUGAAUGAGCAAGUGUACAGCACACGAGUGCACGCAGAGCCGCGGCCAUGGCACACAGACUCAGCAUGAUGUGUGUAAAUGCUUUGCACCAGUACUGCUGUCCCUCGCCGUUGUGCUCUAAGCAGCUAGCUGUACCUGCUCCUCUCUCUGAGUGCAGGGAUGAUAGCGUGCUGCAUCAGUUCUGCUGUCCUCCAUCUGGAAGCAGCAGUCCUUCAAGAUAGCAGGAAUUACAAGGAUCUGUCCUCUCUCACAGAGCUACAUGCAUCCAUCUGUCUGUCCAUCCAUGCAUCUGUCUGAGGGAAUAAUGUGUUUCUCUGAUGGAAUAAACAUCACUGUGUGUGCCGUUGCAUUCACAUGUAGGACAGACGGGAAUCUUUCUGCAGUAGUUCAUUUACAAGAGCAGUCUAUAAACACUGGAAGAACACAACUGUAGUGCUAGAACUUAUGAAUACAGUCGAGUGUUGAACCACAAAUGUGUAUCUCUAUUACAAAGAUACAGAACUGAGUGUAUUUUGCACAAAACAAGUGGAAGAAUACUUCAUUAAGUGCUCGGAGUGAUGCAUGAAAUGGAAAAAGCAAUAUCUGUUUAAGAAUCAGUCACUGUAUUACAGCUGUAUUUGUUUUGCGUGAUAUCAGUAGCUUAUUGUCUUGAGCAUGUAACAAGAUUCAAAUUAAAGGUUUCUUUUUUGGA